GUGUGAGUGUUGACGAGGACAAGGCUGGAGAUCACUCUGCCAUGCUGAUUGAGUUCAAAUAACAGACUGGAAGCUUCAAAAGGACCUGAGCCCUAGGACCAUGCCCCAGGACUACCUGACAUGAUGACUCCUUGCUGUCCCCGGUCCACCUGAGUGUGCUGCUGCUCCAGUUUCAACUGUUCUGCCUUGUUAUUAUUCGACCAUGCUGGUCAUUUAUGAACAUUUGAACAUCUUGGCCAUGUUCUGUUAUAAUCUCCACCCGUCACAGCCAGAAGAGGACUGGCCACCCCACAUAGCCUGGUUCCUCUCUAGGUUUCUUCCUAGGUUUUGGCCUUUCUAGGGAGUUUUUCCUAGCCACCGUGCUUCUACACCUGCAUUGCUUGCUGUUUGGGGUUUUAGGCUGGGUUUCUGUACAGCACUUUGAGAUAUCAGCUGAUGUACGAAGGGCUAUAUAAAUACAUUUGAUUUGAUUUUGAUUUGAUUUAACCCAACAAUAGACUUCCGUAAAAGAUGACUGGGUUUCAACGUUUCUUUUUUUCAAUUAAUAGGGACAAAAUAGCAAAGUACAUUUUUGUCUCCUCCAAGAAUGUCAUAGACUAAUCAAUAUAUUCCCAUAUGCAGAGGUAUGUCUUUUGUGGGCCUUUUUAAAGCUUGUUUAUAGCAUAAGGCAUCAUGAAGUUAAGUAUUGUUAUAGAAUGCUUUAUAUGAUCUGGAUACCUUUUCUUUAUUUAUUUCAAAAUAUAAAGCUAACAAUAGGUAUCCUUUUAGCCCUUUUCUUUAACAAAGGAUAUGGCAUACAGUACCCUCAUUCAAUUUGAGCUCUGUUUUUAUACCGAAUACACCAAGUCCUUAUAUAAGAAAGGAAGCUAUACAGGGCAUUCAGAAAGUAUUCAGACCCUUCCACAUUUUGUUACGUUACAGCCUUAUUCUAAAAUGGAUUAAAUAAAUGUUUUCCACAUCAAUCUACACACAAUACCCCAUAAUGAAAAAGCGAAAACAGUUUUUUUAGAAAUGUUUUCAAAUGUAUUAAAUAUAAAAACCAGAUAUCUUACAAAGUAUACAAACCCUUUGCUAUGAGACUCGAAAUUGAGCUCAGGUGCAUCCUGUUUCUAUUGAUCAUCCUUGAGAAGUUUCUACAACUUGGUUGGGGUAAAUUCAAGAGCUCCUCUGUUGAGAUGGGAAAACCUUCCAGAAGGACAACCAUCUCUGCAGCACUCCACCAAUCAGACCUUUACGGUAGAGUGGCCAGACAGAAGCCACUCCUCAGUAAAAGGCACAUGACAGCCUGCUCGGAGUUUGCCAUAAGGCACCUAAAGGACUCUCAGACCAUGAGAAACAAGAUUAUCUGGUCUGAUGAAACCAAGAUUGAUCUCUUUUGCCUGAAUGCCAAGCGUCUCGUCUGGAGGAAACCUGGCACCAUCCCUACAGUAAAGCAUGGUGGUGGGCGCAUCAUGCUGCGGAGAUGUUUUUCAGCGGCAGGGACUGGGAGACUAGUCAGGUUCGAUGGAAAGAUGAACGGAGCAAAGUACAGAGAGAUCCUUGAUGAAAACCUGCUCCACAGCACUCAGGACCUCAGACUGGGGUGAAGGUUCACCUUCCAACAGGACAACAACCCUAAGCACACAGCCAAGACAACGCAGGAGUGGCUUCGGGACAAGUCUCUGAAUGUACUUGAGUGGCCCAUCCAGGGCCCAGAUUUGAAUCCGAUCGAACAUCUCUGGAGAGACCUGUAAAUAGCUGUGCAGCGACGCUCCCCAGUCAACCUGACAGAGCUUGAGAGGAUCUGUAGAGAAGAAUGGGAAAAACUCCCUAAAUACAGGUGUGCCAAGCUUGUAGCGACAUACACAAGAAGACUUGAGGCUGUAAUCGCUGCCAAAGGUUCUUCAGCAAAGUACUCAGUAAAGCAUCUGAAUACUUAUUUAAAUGUAAUAUUUUUAUUAAUCUGUUUUUGCUUUGUCACUAUGGGGUAUUGUGUGUAGACUGAUGAGGAGAUACAAAUGGAAUAAAAUUGAAUUUGAUUUUAGAAUAAGGCUGUAAUGUAACAAAAUGUGUAAAAAGUCAAGGGAAUACUUUCGAAUGCACUGUAUAUUUAGAACCCCUAUUAAUUCAAUUCCAUCUCUGUGGGCCUAGUAAUAAUGAUUUGUCAUUUAACUUUUAAAAUGUAUUAAAUUUUACUGGAGCAUAAACCCAACCCAA